rnacentral:misc_RNA from 1 species
GCUACUUUUACUAAAACCAGAUAACGUUGGUGAAAAUAACCAAAACCCUUGAACAUCAUAAAAGAAUGUUUCCAUGCAGAAAUCAAACCAUUACAAAUGCAAUACAAGAACCAACAAUGUCAAUAUAGUCUAAAAAAAUGAAAGAAAAAUCAAAUAAGAGCCAUCAGAAUCAACGCUGAAGAAUGUAGUCUAUAGCUAAAAUGAAUUUAACAGAACUCUAUAUCCAUAAUAACAACUGUGUCAACCACAACCUCCCAAAAAAAGGUUUAUUCCGAUAACAUUCUAUAUCUAAGCUCACAGUAUGAAGCAAAGAUUAAGAGAACCAAAAAUUCAUUAACACAGACCGAGAACAUCCAACCCAAUUCAUGAAAACCAAUAUUGACUACUUCAAACAAAUAGCAAAGUUGAACAAUCACCGCAAAGUUACAAAUCCUGUUUCUUAUUCAAUGAUUCACAAUAAUUAUAUACCCAACUCAAAUCAAACCCAGGAAAAAGUUAAUCAGAAAAGCUAUAACUUAAGUUGAUAAAGAGAGAGAGAGAGAGCGCUAAAGUAAGAAACUUUACCUCAAGCGAAUUCGGGUCUACAG